rnacentral:rRNA from 1 species
CCAGACUCCUACGGGAGGCAGCAGUGGGGGAUAUUGCACAAUGGGGGGAACCCUGAUGCAGCGACGCCGCGUGGGUGAAGAAGCGCCUCGGCGCGUAAAGCCCUGUCAGCAGGGAAGAAAAUGACGGUACCUGAAGAAGAAGCCCCGGCUAACUACGUGCCAGCAGCCGCGGUAAUACGUAGGGGGCAAGCGUUAUCCGGGUUUACUGGGUGUAAAGGGGGCGCAGACGGCGGCGCAAGCCAGGAGUGAAAGCCCGGGGCCCAGCCCCGGGACUGCUCUUGGAACUGCGCGGCUGGAGUGAAGGAGGGGCAGGCGGAAGUCCUGGUGUAGCGGUGAAAUGCAUAGAUAUCACGCAGAACUCCGAUUGGGAAGGCAGCAUACCGGCGCCCGA